CGAACGCUGGCGGCGCGCCUAACACAUGCAGGUCGAACGAGCGAGAGAGAGCUUGCUUUCUCGAGCGAGUGGCGAACGGGUGAGUAACGCGUGAGGAACCUGCCUCAAAGAGGGGGACAACAGUUGGAAACGACUGCUAAUACCGCAUAAGCCCACGGUGCCGCAUGGCACAGAGGGAAAAGGAGCAAUCCGCUUUGAGAUGGCCUCGCGUCCGAUUAGCUAGUUGGUGAGGUAAUGGCCCACCAAGGCGACGAUCGGUAGCCGGACUGAGAGGUUGAACGGCCACAUUGGGACUGAGACACGGCCCAGACUCCUACGGGAGGCAGCAGUGGGGAAUAUUGCACAAUGGGGGAAACCCUGAUGCAGCGACGCCGCGUGGAGGAAGAAGGUCUUCGGAUUGUAAACUCCUGUUGUUGGGGAAGAUAAUGACGGUACCCAACAAGGAAGUGACGGCUAACUACGUG
rnacentral:rRNA from 1 species